AGUAUGCAUAACUGUAGUUUUACUGUCUUUCCGUUGUCUUCCUUUACAAUAUGUUUGCGUAUUUUCGUACAUUUUUAUUACGCCUGUGCGUCUUCGAAAAUAUCACGUCUCUUUGAUUAUAAUUCAGAUGUUCUUGUAUGUCGGGAAACCCUGCAAACUGCACAAACUGCACAAACACAAUCAUCCUUUUUUAUAGAAGCACAAUACAAAGGAAAGGGUUUGUAAAGGAAAACAAUAUGGAGCGGACCCCAAAUAUGAAAUGCAGAACGACAGAAAAAUGCUGGACAAGUGCUACAACCAUUACCUUUACUCAAUCGGAAUUGAUACAUGACUUUAAAGAAGAUGCGGAAAUCAUGCUAACAGAAUACACUGAAUUGAGUGAACCCGAAGUCGAAUAGAUGCAUACAUAAAUAUUAUUGAAACAACCCCUCCCCAAUUAAUCGACUUUCGCCAUUCUUUUUCGUGGUCCGCGUCGGAGAUGUUAAGGAUUUAAACUCAAUGAUUUGAGGUCUUUUCAUUAUGUUUGCAAGUUGCCAUUGCGUGUGAUCAUUUCUUAACAAAUUGUUGACGUUAAACCUUUCUUCCUUUGAACAAUGUUUUUCUCGACACAUUUUUCUACACACAUAAAUAAUUAAUACAAAUAUGUAUUCCAAAUAUCUAAUUAAAAAAAGUUCUGGACAGUACCGGGUUAAGCGAUUACGUGGGAAACAAAAUUUUAAAGUUUUUUGUCUUAUUAAAUAGUAGAAUAUUUAAAUAUUAUCCAAAAUUAUGAAAUCGAUAUUAAAAUUUCAUUAAUAUAAAACUUUUAACGUAUUUAUCUCAACACUCAACACUCGAAUUUUGAAGUCAGUGGACACGAUUUCUUUAAAUGUUAUGAAGCGAUUCUGUUGAAAAAUUUCCACACUUCUUUAUUACAACUAUUUUUUAUUUUUUUGGUUGUACUAUUCGCUGUCCACUCUUCAAUUCCGUCUGAAGAAGUUGAAAUUCCUCAUGCGGACAUAAUUGAAUUCAAAUGCAUACGAAUUUGCAUUAAUAGUGGUUACACUUACUUAACGUUGUCUUAUAUACCUCCUCAAUCUGACUUAUCUGUAUAUAUGCAGCAUGCUUCUUUAAUAAAAAAUGUUUUUUUUUUCAUUUGCUAAUGAUACUGAUUCCAUGAUUGUUCUGGGCGAUUUUAAUCUACCGUAUGUAUCAUGGAAACCCAUUGAUGAUUACAUUAUACCAGUUUGCACUCGUUUAAACUUUAAUGAGUUUUUGGAAGAAAUGUCUGAGUUGGGUCUUAACCAAAUUAGUUUGAUUCCUAACAAAUUCGGUAAAUUCUUAGAUUUGGUCUAUGUUGAUAAUACUUCAAUAUUUUCUGUUGUCCGAUCUGAUCCUUUAGUUUUGCCUGAGGACUUUUAUCAUCCUGCUUUGGAAAUUAAUAUCGAAAUCAAAUCCGAUCUUGUUUACAAUAAACAGGACCAUUGUUUUAGUUUCAACUUUGCGAAAGCUAACUUUAAAAAGAUUAAUCUGGAACUCUCUAAAAUGACUUGGCCCGAUUAUAGUGGUAAUAUUGAAUUUAAUGUUUCACAUUUUAAUAAAACUAUUUUUAAUUUAUUUGAAAGGUUUGUUCCGAAAUGUUUUGUUACCCAAAGUAAAAACUCAAAUUUGUGGUUUUCGAAAGUGCUAUGUAAACUAAAAAAUAGAAAAGCUCGUGCUUUUAAACUUUAUAAAAAAACUGGAAUGCUUGGUGACUAGUUAAAAUAUUCUAAGUUACGAAGAGAGUUUGCGGUAGUUAACAAAAAAUUUUAUAAAAACUACAUAAAUAAAGUUAAAAAUAAUAUUAUUCGCAAUCCAAAAUCUUUCGAUGGUUUCGUUAACUCCAAACGCAGGAUUUCCAAUUUUCCGUCCGCUAUGAAAUAUAAUUCAACCAUGUCAUGUGACAAUUAUACUAUUUCUAAUAUGUUUGCUGAAUUCUUUAAGUCUAAUUAUUGUUCUAACUCUCCUACGAAUGUGCCAUAUCAACAUGUGUCUUGUCCGAGUACCGUUAUUAAUACACAAAUCAUUUCUGAAUUAGAUGUCUUAAACCAUCUAGAUACAUUAAAAAGUUCGUUUAAAUAUGGCCUCGAUAUGAUUCCCUCAUGCUUCCUUUAACCAAGCUUUUCAACUCAUCUCUUAAACAAGAUAUUUUUCCGUCAUUGUGGAAAAACUCUUUUAUAAUACCUUUGCAUGAAAGCGGUGUUAGAUCAUCCGUUGAGAACUAUAGGGGGAUAGCAAAAAUGUCAGCUAUACCCAAACUUUUUGAAGCUAUUAUCACUGACCAAAUUACAUUCUCGAUUUCUCCAUUGAUUUCAUUUUCUCAGCAUGGAUUCUGCAAAGGGAAAUCUACAGCAACAAACUUGCUUGAAUUCGUAAGCCAUGUGUUAAUGGGUUUUAGAUACAAUAAGAAUACCGAUGUUAUUUAUACAGAAGCAUUCGAUAGAGUAAACCACUCUAUUCUAUUGCAAAAAUUGGAUUAUCUUGGUUUUCAACCAAGACUUCUUAAUUGGGUAUCCUCAUAUCUUACUAACAGAAAACAACAAGUUAUAUUUAAUAACACUUUAUCCGAUUCAAUUAUGGUCCCUUCAGGCGUUCCACAAGGUAGUCAUCUCGGGCCGAUUCUGUUCUUAUUAUUUAUUAAUGAUAUACCUUCCGUAAUUAAGUUUUCAAACAUUUUAUUAUAUCCGGAUGAUGUAAAACUUUUUAAAUCAUAUACUUCUUAUAAUGAUAGAACUGAGUUACAAUCGGACUUAAAUAAUUUAGUUACUUGGUGUCACAAAAAUGAUAUGCCACUGAAUCUUAAAAAAUGUAAAACGAUGUGCUUUUCCCGUAGAUCUGUUGAUCCUUCUCCCUACGUAAUAAAUAACUUUAGUUUAGAGUAAGUACCUAGCUUUGUUGAUUUAGGAGUUACUAUGGACCCUAAACUAAAUUUUAAUUCUCAUGUAAAUUCAAUUGUUUUAAAAGCUAAAGGUGUUCUCAGCUUUGUUAAACGUUGGUCUAAAGAAUUUAGUGAUCCGUAUAUUACUAAAACUCUUUUUACAACAUUGGUAAGACCUAUAUUGGAGUAUGGUUCUGUGGUAUGGAAUCCUAGCUACAAUACCCAUUCUGAUAAGUUAGAGUCCGUUCGAAAACAAUUUUUACUGUUUGCUUUAGGUCACUUUCACUGGGAUUCAAGAUUGCAUCUUCCUCCGUAUACUAGUCGUUUAAAACUUAUAAAUCUACCUACACUCACUAGUCGUAGGGAAAUGCUAGGUAUAAUAUUUCUAAUAAAACUUCUGAAUGGUUCUGUUUGUAGCUCUUUUCUUUUGUAAUCACAAAAAUAAAAGUGUGCAAACAAUAAACAAAUAUUAAAACAAGUAAGGAAGGGCUAAGUUCGGGUGUAACCGAACAUUUUAUACUCUCGCAAUUUAUUUAUUUAACUUUAUUUAUAUUAUACAA